GGGGCCGGUUCCUAGCGGGUGGGAGGUCUACUUGCAUCGCGUGUUGUGUGUUGUGGUGUGAUCAGUAUCUCGAUGCUUCCUCACGGGCAGUGAUAAGAUGUUAGAUUUUGUUUUUGUGCAGGCAGCGGUGGAAGAAGGUUUUUGGUCGUUACAGGACGAGAAAGUGGGACUUGAGCUUCGCGGUUCCCGGAGCCGGCGGUGCCAGCGCCGGGGUCGUAGCCACAGGCGUGAGCGUUCAGGACUCAGUUUGGGGCCCUAGAAGUCGGCCUCCGGGGUUCUUGCCGGCCCUGGCCGGGUGCUGCCGCGCGGCACACCUUUCCUUCUAGCUUGGUUCGCGCGUCUUCACCCCGGGGUCAGAUCGGCCAAGGUUAUGGCGCAUCUUGGAGAGGGAGGAUGACCCCGCACCUGAAGGGUACAAAGAACAGAUGACUCGAGGGAGGAGGGCACGGUCAUCGUUGGUGAAGAGUCUAGAAGGAAAUCUGACGUUUAUUUCAGUUACCACCUCCCUCUCCCACCUGUUUCCAGUUUAAGGGCAAACGUUUUACAAAAGCAUUUUACAUUUGAGGUUUUAAAUCGUAAGGUUUAAGUAGAGAUUUAGGGAUGUGUUGGGAAUUGCAGCUUUCUCACGAGCUCCCAUUAGCGUAAAUGUUAGAUCCUACAGUUCUAACUCCCAUAGCAGGUUCAUUUGACAGGGGAUCUUGCGUAAGUCCAUUUCUAAUCUUCAACCCCACCCCCUUUGAAUGGUAAUAAAUCCUUCAGUGCUUAGAGGCUUUUGUUUCCUAAUGUUUUUGUUUUCUUUGGUGUUCUGAAUUGCCCAUACCUAUUUAACUCAGUACAUAUCUUAAGUGAUGCAUGUUUGGGUCUUGUGGGAACGAUUUCGCUUUGAUGCUUUGUCAUGGCAGCGCCAGGAAGGGCCUGUAUUCUGCCAACUUUGGCUACUCCACCUGUAAUCACUCAAGACACUGAAAUGCUAUAAACAAACGAAUCUAUUCACUGUUACAGAGCAUUUCCUUGAGUUGAUACUAAUGUUACUGUUACAAAAAGUCAAAUUAUUUGACUUUAGUUUCUAUUUACUGUAAUGACAUCCUCCAGAACACUACUAGAAUCCCAGGAAUGGGAAAGUGUCUCUUUGACAU
rnacentral:lncRNA from 1 species